rnacentral:sRNA from 1 species
GUCGAACAAGCCGCCUUCUGCCCGGCCCACAUCGUCCCAGGAAUCGAGUUCUCGCCAGACAAGAUGCUCCAAGGGCGUAUCUUCUCCUACACGGACACGCAUUACCAUCGCCUUGGACCAAACUACAUUCAGCUUCCAGUCAACUGCCCGUACCGCUCCCGUGCUCAUACCACUCAACGCGAUGGUGCAAUGGCUUAUGAAAGCCAGGGAGAUGCGCCGAAUUACUUCCCGAACAGUUUCCGCGGAUACCGUACUCGUGAUGAUGUGAAGGAGUCGACAUUUCAGACGACUGGAGAUGUUGAUCGUUAUGAGACUGGAGACGAUCACAACUACGAGCAGCCACGUCAGUUCUGGGAGAAAGUGCUCAAGGAGGAGGAGAGAGAUCGGCUCGUUGGGAAUUUGGCUAGUGAUUUGGGUGGCUGUUUGGAGGAAAUUCAAAAUGGAAUGGUCAAAGAGUUCACGAAAGUUCAUCCGGAUUUCGGAAAUGCUCUUCGCCAUCAGCUCUGCCAGAAGAAGCAUUAAAUUGUUUGAUAUUCAAACUUUUGUAUAUAGAAUCUCGUUAUUUAUAAACUCUUUUUUUUGUAUUUCUUCUGGUUUUUGAUGAUAAGAAAUUUUAUGUGCACAUAAAUCAAAAAAGCCGGAAAUUAAAUAGCGUUUUAUCAGGCAGAAAAUUGGCCACGUGACGUCAUCAUUUUCCUGUUUGAAGAAAAUCUGGAAAAUUUUUUGUUUCAGUCAAUUUUUAAAGAUGAAAACUUAAGUUAGACUGUAAAAGCAAUUUUCGCGCCAAAAUUACGGUAUCGGGUCUCGAAACGACAGUUUUUUAUCUAUUGCGAAAAUAUGUGCGCCUUUAAAGAGUACUGUAGUUGCAAACUUUUGUCGCUGUGGAGUUUUUAUCGAUUUUUUAUAUUUUUUCGAUGAAAACAACUCAAAUAUAACAAUAAAAACACAAAAUUAAAAAAAAAAUCGAUAAAAAAUCCGCGUCAACGAAAGUUUAAAGUUACAGUAUUUGUCGUUUCGAGACCGGGUACCGUAGUUUUUGGUGAAAACAUUGCAAAAUUUGGUCAACAAUUUCAUCGCUGCGAGACCGACACAACACUUUAUUUUAUUUUUGGGUUUCCCUUAUCGCUUAUCAUAAACAUGUGACGUCAUCAUCUCUUGUACAGAGCACCGCGACUGGGAGUAUAAGAAUCGCCGGAAAACAUCAAUAAUCAGUUCGGUAGAAGUGAAAAUUGAGCGUAAAAUAUGAUCAUUUUUCGAUGCACCAUAUUUGACGCGCAAUACUUCUACAAGCCGCUGUGUACUGCUCGUGGACAACUUUGGAUUAUUUUUUGUUUUUAAAAUUCAAAAUAGUCAAUAUAUUGCUUAUUUAUAGCGCGCCUUUUUGACAGUAAGUUUGUCAAAUUUGCGCGUAAGUUAUGGUGUUUGCACAUAUGCACCAUACAGCAACACCCCGCGGCCCGGCUAGUGGUACAUCCAUGCAAAUGCGCUCUACUGAUAAUUUGAGUUUAACCAGGUUUAGGCGCAAGAUAAGAAAAAAGCUUUGGACCAAAAAAUUUAGAGUUUAUUUUUUUCGGACAUUUUUUAUAUACAUCACAAAAAUAUUGGGCCACUCGUUUUUGAUAAAAACGACAAGCCCAAAAGUUCAGGUAUACGGUAGACAAAUUGCGUACAGGUACCACUUUUCCACGUAGUGCCAGGUUGUCCCAUUACGCUUUGAUCUAUGAAAAAUGCGGGAAUUUUUCGUCCAGAAAAAUGUGACGUCAGCACGUUCUCAACCAUGCGAAAUCAGUUGAAAACUCUGCGUCUAUUCUCCCGCAUUUUUUGUAGAUCUGUAGAUUUGUAGAUCAAUCCAUUCCCCGUAUACCCUGACCCAUAAUCAAUACCUACCUAAUUUUUGUCUUUCCCCCUACUUUUUUGCCUGUCCAAAAUAAGCGAGACUAUGCCGUAGUCUGGUGUCCAACAACAUGUUCCUUAUCAGUGAUAACGCUACAAUCUUCUUUCUUUUUUCUCUGUUUCUCUUGUCUCUCCCAACCCAUAUUCCGUAUUACACCUCGUCGUGGUCAUUUUUUUGUUCAGAGUUUUAUUUAAUUCUAAAUUUCCUAACUAAAAUUUCAGAACCAAAAUGCCAAACGAUCCAUCGGAUAAUCAACUGAAAACCUACAAGGAGACGUAUCCAGUGAGUUUAGAGUUUAAAGGCACAGACGCAUUUUCUACAACAACAACUACUAUUUACAGUAACUUGUUUCAGAAACCCCAAGUGAUCACAACUUCAAAUGGAGCUCCGAUCUACUCGAAGACCGCCGUGCUCACCGCCGGGCGGCGUGGCCCAAUGCUCAUGCAAGAUGUAGUUUAUAUGGAUGAGAUGGCUCAUUUCGAUCGUGAACGUAUCCCCGAGCGUGUCGUUCAUGCCAAGGGAGCCGGAGCCCAUGGAUACUUCGAGGUCACCCAUGACAUCACCAAGUACUGUAAGGCCGAUAUGUUCAACAAGGUCGGAAAACAGACACCACUUCUCGUUCGUUUUUCAACGGUCGCUGGAGAAUCGGGAUCCGCUGAUACUGUCCGCGAUCCACGUGGAUUCUCUCUCAAAUUCUAUACCGAGGAGGGUAACUGGGAUCUGGUUGGAAAUAACACUCCGAUCUUCUUCAUUCGUGACGCAAUCCACUUUCCGAAUUUCAUUCAUGCCCUGAAGCGCAAUCCACAGACUCACAUGAGGGAUCCGAAUGCGCUCUUCGAUUUCUGGAUGAAUCGCCCUGAAUCCAUUCAUCAGGUGAUGUUCCUCUACUCGGAUCGUGGAAUUCCUGAUGGAUUCCGUUUUAUGAAUGGAUACGGAGCGCAUACUUUCAAGAUGGUCAACAAGGAGGGAAAUCCGAUUUAUUGUAAAUUCCAUUUCAAGGUAAGCCUAAGAGAGACGGGGACUAGAAUUAAAUUUUCAUUUUCUAUUUUUCAGCCUGCUCAAGGUUCCAAGAAUCUCGAUCCAACUGACGCUGGAAAGCUCGCCUCUUCGGAUCCAGACUAUGCGAUCCGCGACCUGUUCAAUGCCAUUGAGUCAAGAAAUUUCCCGGAAUGGAAGAUGUUCAUUCAAGUGAUGACAUUCGAACAAGCUGAGAAAUGGGAGUUCAAUCCAUUUGAUGUCACUAAAGUUUGGCCACACGGUGAUUACCCACUGAUCGAGGUCGGCAAGAUGGUGCUGAACAGGAAUGUGAAGAAUUAUUUCGCUGAGGCAAGUGGUGUGAAGAUGAAUUAGUUUUUUUUAAUAUUAGGUCUCCAAAUAAGUUCCGGGUCAAAAAUCAUAACUUUGUUCGCUGUGUAUCGAUUUUUAUGAAACUGUAGGAAUUUACGUUAUCAACUAUGAUCUUUCAUUUGACAAUAGUCACAAAAUUUUUUGGCCGUCCGAAGUGCCCUAACUCGGAGCCAAUUUUUUCAGGCAUUUUUCAGAUCUCGCUUCUUUUCAGGUUUCAAUUGAGGUUUGUGUGCGGAUUUUGCUUAGUUUAGUACACAAUGUAAGAAAACAAAAAGUUUGGAAAAAAUCCGUCCAAAAAAAUUUUUUUUGUCGGUCGUCAAAAAAUCUUCAAAAAAUUUUUUUUUCGAAAAUUCUCGAUUUUUUAUACAAAAAUGAUGUAACCAUGUGCAAACUAUUUUUACACAUACAAAACAUUUCAAUUUAUUGCGUCACACUAAAACAAUAACAGAAAACACAGCUUUUUCGAAAAAUUUUCGAGUUCUUGGAGUAUUUCUCGAGAUCCAAAUUUCAUACUCAAAUGUUUUGUAUGUGUAAAAAUAGUUUGCACAUGGUUACAUCAUUCUUGUAUAAAAAAUCGAGAAUUUUCGAAAAAAAAUUUUUUUGAAGAUUUUUUGACGACCGACAAAAAAAAUUUUUUUGGACGGAUUUUUUCCAAACUUUUUUUGUUUUCUUACAUUGUGUACUAAACUAAGCAAAAUCCGCACACAAACCUCAAUUGAAACCUGAAAAGAAGCGAGAUCUGAAAAAUGCCUGAAAAAAAUGGCUCCGAGUUAGGGCGCUCCGGGUGGUCAAAAAAUUUUGUGACCAUUUCAAAAUGAAAGGUCAUAGUUGAUAACAUAAAUUCCCAAAGUUUCAAAAAAAUCUAUAAAAGGCAAAAAAAGUUCUGAUUUUUGACCCGGAACUUAUUUGGAGACCUAAUAGGAACAAUAAAAAUUGCAUUUUACGUCUAGCUUUAAAGGUGGAGUAAAAAUAUUUUUUAUUUUGGUUUUCAGGUCGAACAAGCCGCCUUCUGCCCGGCCCACAUCGUCCCAGGAAUCGAGUUCUCGCCAGACAAGAUGCUCCAAGGGCGUAUCUUCUCCUACACGGACACGCAUUACCAUCGCCUUGGACCAAACUACAUUCAGCUUCCAGUCAACUGCCCGUACCGCUCCCGUGCUCAUACCACUCAACGCGAUGGUGCAAUGGCUUAUGAAAGCCAGGGAGAUGCGCCGAAUUACUUCCCGAACAGUUUCCGCGGAUACCGUACUCGUGAUGAUGUGAAGGAGUCGACAUUUCAGACGACUGGAGAUGUUGAUCGUUAUGAGACUGGAGACGAUCACAACUACGAGCAGCCACGUCAGUUCUGGGAGAAAGUGCUCAAGGAGGAGGAGAGAGAUCGGCUCGUUGGGAAUUUGGCUAGUGAUUUGGGUGGCUGUUUGGAGGAAAUUCAAAAUGGAAUGGUCAAAGAGUUCACGAAAGUUCAUCCGGAUUUCGGAAAUGCUCUUCGCCAUCAGCUCUGCCAGAAGAAGCAUUAAAUUGUUUGAUAUUCAAACUUUUGUAUAUAGAAUCUCGUUAUUUAUAAACUCUUUUUUUUGUAUUUCUUCUGGUUUUUGAUGAUAAGAAAUUUUAUGUGCACAUAAAUCAAAAAAGCCGGAAAUUAAAUAGCGUUUUAUCAGGCAGAAAAUUGGCCACGUGACGUCAUCAUUUUCCUGUUUGAAGAAAAUCUGGAAAAUUUUUUGUUUCAGUCAAUUUUUAAAGAUGAAAACUUAAGUUAGACUGUAAAAGCAAUUUUCGCGCCAAAAUUACGGUAUCGGGUCUCGAAACGACAGUUUUUUAUCUAUUGCGAAAAUAUGUGCGCCUUUAAAGAGUACUGUAGUUGCAAACUUUUGUCGCUGUGGAGUUUUUAUCGAUUUUUUAUAUUUUUUCGAUGAAAACAACUCAAAUAUAACAAUAAAAACACAAAAUUAAAAAAAAAAUCGAUAAAAAAUCCGCGUCAACGAAAGUUUAAAGUUACAGUAUUUGUCGUUUCGAGACCGGGUACCGUAGUUUUUGGUGAAAACAUUGCAAAAUUUGGUCAACAAUUUCAUCGCUGCGAGACCGACACAACACUUUAUUUUAUUUUUGGGUUUCCCUUAUCGCUUAUCAUAAACAUGUGACGUCAUCAUCUCUUGUACAGAGCACCGCGACUGGGAGUAUAAGAAUCGCCGGAAAACAUCAAUAAUCAGUUCGGUAGAAGUGAAAAUUGAGCGUAAAAUAUGAUCAUUUUUCGAUGCACCAUAUUUGACGCGCAAUACUUCUACAAGCCGCUGUGUACUGCUCGUGGACAACUUUGGAUUAUUUUUUGUUUUUAAAAUUCAAAAUAGUCAAUAUAUUGCUUAUUUAUAGCGCGCCUUUUUGACAGUAAGUUUGUCAAAUUUGCGCGUAAGUUAUGGUGUUUGCACAUAUGCACCAUACAGCAACACCCCGCGGCCCGGCUAGUGGUACAUCCAUGCAAAUGCGCUCUACUGAUAAUUUGAGUUUAACCAGGUUUAGGCGCAAGAUAAGAAAAAAGCUUUGGACCAAAAAAUUUAGAGUUUAUUUUUUUCGGACAUUUUUUAUAUACAUCACAAAAAUAUUGGGCCACUCGUUUUUGAUAAAAACGACAAGCCCAAAAGUUCAGGUAUACGGUAGACAAAUUGCGUACAGGUACCACUUUUCCACGUAGUGCCAGGUUGUCCCAUUACGCUUUGAUCUAUGAAAAAUGCGGGAAUUUUUCGUCCAGAAAAAUGUGACGUCAGCACGUUCUCAACCAUGCGAAAUCAGUUGAAAACUCUGCGUCUAUUCUCCCGCAUUUUUUGUAGAUCUGUAGAUUUGUAGAUCAAUCCAUUCCCCGUAUACCCUGACCCAUAAUCAAUACCUACCUAAUUUUUGUCUUUCCCCCUACUUUUUUGCCUGUCCAAAAUAAGCGAGACUAUGCCGUAGUCUGGUGUCCAACAACAUGUUCCUUAUCAGUGAUAACGCUACAAUCUUCUUUCUUUUUUCUCUGUUUCUCUUGUCUCUCCCAACCCAUAUUCCGUAUUACACCUCGUCGUGGUCAUUUUUUUGUUCAGAGUUUUAUUUAAUUCUAAAUUUCCUAACUAAAAUUUCAGAACCAAAAUGCCAAACGAUCCAUCGGAUAAUCAACUGAAAACCUACAAGGAGACGUAUCCAGUGAGUUUAGAGUUUAAAGGCACAGACGCAUUUUCUACAACAACAACUACUAUUUACAGUAACUUGUUUCAGAAACCCCAAGUGAUCACAACUUCAAAUGGAGCUCCGAUCUACUCGAAGACCGCCGUGCUCACCGCCGGGCGGCGUGGCCCAAUGCUCAUGCAAGAUGUAGUUUAUAUGGAUGAGAUGGCUCAUUUCGAUCGUGAACGUAUCCCCGAGCGUGUCGUUCAUGCCAAGGGAGCCGGAGCCCAUGGAUACUUCGAGGUCACCCAUGACAUCUCCAAGUACUGUAAGGCCGAUAUCUUCAACAAGGUCGGGAAGCAGACCCCACUGCUAAUUAGAUUCUCUACAGUCGGUGGUGAGAGCGGAUCCGCCGACACCGCUCGUGAUCCACGUGGAUUUGCGAUCAAGUUCUACACCGAGGAGGGAAACUGGGAUCUGGUUGGAAAUAACACUCCGAUCUUCUUCAUCCGUGACCCUAUCCACUUCCCGAACUUUAUCCAUACCCAGAAGCGUAAUCCACAGACUCACCUGAAGGAUCCCAACAUGAUCUUUGACUUCUGGCUUCAUAGACCAGAGGCUUUGCAUCAAGUGAUGUUCCUGUUUUCCGAUCGAGGACUCCCAGAUGGGUACCGUCAUAUGAAUGGAUACGGAUCCCAUACAUUCAAGAUGGUUAACAAGGACGGAAAGGCUAUCUAUGUGAAAUUCCAUUUCAAGGUGGGUCCUUAAUGUUAUUUAAAUUUUUCGGUCUAUAAUUUCCAACUUCAGCCAACUCAAGGAGUGAAGAAUCUCACCGUGGAGAAGGCCGGUCAACUUGCCUCUUCGGACCCAGACUAUUCCAUCCGUGACCUGUUCAAUGCUAUUGAGAAGGGAGACUUUCCAGUAUGGAAGAUGUUCAUUCAAGUGAUGACAUUCGAACAAGCUGAGAAAUGGGAGUUCAAUCCAUUUGAUGUCACUAAAGUUUGGCCACACGGUGAUUACCCACUGAUCGAGGUCGGCAAGAUGGUGCUGAACAGAAAUCCAAGGAACUACUUCGCUGAGG